UCAAGCUAGUAAGGGCAUACGGUGGAUGCCUAGGCGCUAAGAGGCGAGGAAGGGCGUGGCAAGCUGCGAAAAGCCUCGGGGAGCCGCAAGCAGGCGUAGAUCCGGGGAUGCCCGAAUGGGGUAACCCAGCGGGAGUAAUAUCCCGCUACCACAGGCUGAAUAGAUAGGCUUGUGGGGCGAUACCGGGGGAACUGAAACAUCUUAGUACCCCGAGGAAAAGAAAGAAAGAUCGAUUCCCUGAGUAGCGGCGAGCGAAAGGGGAAGAGCCCAAACCAUAUGCUAAGGCAUAUGGGGUUGUGGGACUUACCGUAAGGGGGCGGAAGAGCUAGCCGAAGCGGAUUGGAAAAUCCCACCAUAGAAGGUAACAGUCCUGUAGGCGAAAGCUUGGAAGUCCUUGGUAAGGAUCCCGAGUACCGCGGGGCACGUGGAACCCCGUGGGAAGCAGGGAGGACCACCUCCCAAGGCUAAAUACUCCUUAGCGACCGAUAGUGGACUAGUACCGUGAGGGAAAGGUGAAAAGCACCCCGGGAGGGGAGUGAAAGAGAACCUGAAACCGUAUGCCUACAAGCAGUGGGAGCCUCGGAAGGGGUGACCGCGUACUUUUUGUAGAACGGGCCGGCGAGUUACGGUAGCUAGCGAGGUUAAGCCUUAAGAGGGCGGAGCCGGAGCGAAAGCGAGUCUGAAGAGGGCGAAAAGUUAGCUGCCGUAGACCCGAAACCGGGUGAUCUACCCAUGGGCAGGAUGAAAUUCCGGUAAAGCGGGAUGGAGGUCCGAACCGACCGUCGUUGAAAAGGCGGCGGAUGACCUGUGGGUAGGGGUGAAAUGCCAAUCGAACCCGGAGAUAGCUGGUUCUCCCCGAAAUAGCUUUAGGGCUAGCCUCAAGGGUUGAUUUGUGGAGGUAGAGCACUGAAAAGGCUAGGGGCCCUACCAGGUUACCGAACCUUUUCAAACUCCGAAUACCACAAAUUGGACCUUGGGAGUCAGACCAUGGGUGAUAAGAUUCAUGGUCGAGAGGGGAACAGCCCAGACCGACAGCUAAGGUCCCCAAGUACGGGCUAAGUGGGGAAGGAUGUGGAGCUGCAGAGACAACCAGGAUGUUGGCUUAGAAGCAGCCAUCAUUUAAAGAGUGCGUAAUAGCUCACUGGUCGAGUGGCUCUGCGCCGAAAAUGUAACGGGGCUCAAGCCCGUCACCGAAGCUUCGGAUAGCGGCGAAGCCGCUAUGGUAGGGGAGCGUUCUCACCUGGUAGAAGCAAGUCUGAGAGGGCAUGUGGACGGGUGAGAAGUGAGAAUGCCGGCAUAAGUAAGCGAAAAGGUGGGUGAGAAUCCCACCCGCCGGAAGCCCAAGGUUUCCUGGGGAAGGCUCGUCCGCCCAGGGUAAGCCGGGACCUAAGCCGAGGCCGGAAGGCGUAGGCGAUGGGCAAUCGGUGGAGAUUCCGAUGCCACCUCAUGGCCGUUAGCAGGAAGGGGUGACGCAGGAGGGUAGGCCAAGCGCACCGUUGGUUGAGUGCGUCCAAGCCGGUAGGGAGUGAGGCAGGCAAAUCCGUCUCACAAAGAUCCCGAGAGGUGAAGGGGAGCGAAAAAUAAGUAGCGAAGUGGCUGAUCCCACACUGCCGAGAAAAGCCUCUAACGAGGCCAUGGGGUGCCCGUACCGGAAACCGACACAGGUGGGCAGGGAGAGAAUCCCGAGGCGCGCGAGAGAACCCUCGUUAAGGAACUCGGCAAAAUGGCCCCGUAACUUCGGGAGAAGGGGUACCCUGCUAGCGUGACCGUUCCGAGCGGAUGGGAGCGCGAGAGGGUCGCAGAGAAAUGGCCCAGGCGACUGUUUACCAAAAACACAGGUGCCUGCUAAAUCGAAAGAUGAAGUAUAGGUGCUGACGCCUGCCCGGUGCUGGAAGGUUAAGGGGAAGGCUUAGCUUGGGGAAACCCGGGCGAAGGUCUGAACCGAAGCCCCAGUAAACGGCGGCCGUAACUAUAACGGUCCUAAGGUAGCGAAAUUCCUUGUCGGGUAAGUUCCGACCCGCACGAAAGGCGUAACGAUCUGGGCACUGUCUCAACGAGGGGCUCGGCGAAAUUGUAGUACCCGUGAAGAUGCGGGUUACCUGCGACAGGACAGAAAGACCCCGUGGAGCUUUACUGUAGCCUGAUAUUGGACUUUGGUAUGUCAUGUACAGGAUAGGUGGGAGACGUAGAAGCAUGGCCGCCAGGCUGUGUGGAGUCGCCGGUGGGAUACCACCCUUGAUGUACUGAAGUUCUAACCCGAGGCCGUGAACCGGUCUGGGGACAGUGUCAGGUGGGCAGUUUGACUGGGGCGGUCGCCUCCUAAAGGGUAACGGAGGCGCCCAAAGGUUCCCUCAGCGCGGUUGGAAAUCGCGCGUAGAGUGCAAAGGCAGAAGGGAGCUUGACUGUGAGACCGACGGGUCGAGCAGGGACGAAAGUCGGGCUUAGUGAUCCGGCGGUACCGAGUGGAAGGGCCGUCGCUCAACGGAUAAAAGCUACCCCGGGGAUAACAGGCUUAUCUCCCCCAAGAGUCCACAUCGACGGGGAGGUUUGGCACCUCGAUGUCGGCUCAUCGCAUCCUGGGGCUGAAGUAGGUCCCAAGGGUUGGGCUGUUCGCCCAUUAAAGCGGUACGUGAGCUGGGUUCAGAACGUCGUGAGACAGUUCGGUCCCUAUCCGUCGCAGGCGCAGGAAACUUGAGAGGAGCUGUCCCUAGUACGAGAGGACCGGGAUGGACAGACCGCUGGUGUACCAGUUGUCCCGCCAGGGGCACAGCUGGGUAGCUAUGUCUGGAAGGGAUAAGCGCUGAAAGCAUCUAAGCGCGAAGCCCGCCUCAAGAUAAGGUUUCCCUUCCCGCAUGGGAGUAAGACCCCUGGAAGAUUACCAGGUUGAUAGGCCAGAAGUGUAAGGUGGGUAACCACCUUAGCGGACUGGUACUAAUAGGUCGAGGGCUUGACCUC
rnacentral:rRNA from 1 species